rnacentral:rRNA from 1 species
GGCUCAGGAUGAACGCUAGCGACAGGCUUAACACAUGCAAGUCGAGGGGCAGCACAGGUAGCAAUACUGGGUGGCGACCGGCGCACGGAUGCGUAACGCGUAUGCAACCUACCUAUAAUAGGGGGAUAGCCUUCUGAAAGGGAGAUUAAGACCGCAUAAUACAACUGAAUCGCAUGGAUUAGUUGUAAAAUAUUUAUAGAUUAUAGAUGGGCAUGCGUCUGAUUAGAUAGUUGGAGAGGUAACGGCUCACCAAGUCAACGAUCAGUAGGGGUUCUGAGAGGAAGGUCCCCCACACCGGAACUGAGACACGGUCCGGACUCCUACGGGAGGCAGCAGUGAGGAAUAUUGGUCAAUGGGCGAGAGCCUGAACCAGCCAAGUCGCGUGAAGGAAGAAGGUCUUAUGGAUUGUAAACUUCUUUUAUAGGGGAAUAAAGAUGAGUACGUGUACUCAGUUGUAGGUACCCUAAGAAUAAGGAUCGGCUAACUCCGUGCCAGCAGCCGCGGUAAUACGGAGGAUCCGAGCGUUAUCCGGAUUUAUUGGGUUUAAAGGGUGCGUAGGCGGGUUGAUAAGUCAGUGGUGAAAGGUUCGCGCUCAACGUAGACAUUGCCAUUGAAACUGUCAGUCUUGAGUACAAAUGAGGUAGGCGGAAUGUGUUGUGUAGCGGUGAAAUGCAUAGAUAUGACACAGAACACCAAUUGCGAAGGCAGCUUACUGGGAUGUAACUGACGCUGAG